rnacentral:tRNA from 1 species
AACGUGUUAACUCAAUGGUAAGAGUAUUGUGCUACGGACACAAAUGCUACAAGUUCAAGUCUUGUACACGUUU